UGCCGGCGGCAGCAUCUUGCCGAGAGCAACCCUCUCUCGUCCGGACGGUUAGUGCCGCGGAGGGUUGAACGGCGGUAAGAGUACCCUUACUACGGGACUGGUAAUGUACGCAGUCAGUCGCGAUCUUCGAUAUCGCAUCGAUUUCGCGGUUGGGGUACGCGUGUGCGAAAUUAACCGUGCGACUUUCGGCACAACCGACUAGAGGAGAUUAAGCGGAAUGGGAAAUCUUUCGGUCGAGAGCGAUCACCGUUCCUUCUCGAUCGAUAAAUUGUCCGGAGGUCACGAGAACCGAAUUGGCAACGAUCUUGAGAUUGUUAACCCCUCACGGCAUUAAAUUCCGUCCGACCGAUGAACAUCGAUGGCAUAUAACGGCGCUUUCUGCUCGAGAAUAGAGUGCACAGUAAAAAACACUACAAAGACCAGACACCGGUACAAUUCUCAUUCAGAGAAUACUCCUAACCAUCACGCGACGGUGAAGACCAAUUAGGAAGAAAAGUAAGCGAAACAGGUCGUUCCAGCGUCUAUUAGAUGCAAAGAGACAUUCGACGCAUCGUUACAUUAUUCGCCAUUGUCACAAUUUCAGGGACGAUGUACCAGAGAGAAGACAGGCUUUCUCUCGGGACGGAGAUAUUUUUAUAAUACGCCGCAUUCCAAGGUCGCGGCUAAUCCCACCGAGGGAAUUCGUCAACGAAGACGAGAUGACGGCUUAGAGGUUUCACGAAUGUCCGAGGGGCUUUAAAUUAAACGAGUUUCACCCGACAAAGUAUCUUCGGAAUUUUUAUUCGCUGCAAUCUCUAGUAUAAAA